rnacentral:rRNA from 1 species
AUUGAACGCUGGCGGCAGGCCUAACACAUGCAAGUCGAGCGAGCGGCGGACGGGAGAGAAAUGUAGGGGGAUGUGCCCGAUAGAGGGGGAUAACUACUGGAAACGGUGGCUAAUACCGCAUACUAACGAGUGCACCCAUAUGGGAUUAGCUAGUAGGGGGGGUAAAGGCUCACCAAGGCUACGAUCUAUAGCUGGUCUGAGAGGAUGAUCAGCCACACUGGAACUGAGACACGGCCCAGACUCCUACGGGAGGCAGCAGUGGGGAAUAUUGCACAAUGGGCGCAAGCCUGAUGCAGCCAUGCCGCGUGUAUGAAGAAGGCCUUCGGGUUGUAAAGUACUUUCAGCGGGGAGGCGUUACCCGCAGAAGAAGCACCGGCUAACCCCGUGCCAGCAGCCGCGGUAAUAC